rnacentral:lncRNA from 1 species
UGAAGAAUGAUGUGGUGAUCACUAGAAAGAGAUUUUUUAAAAAGUUCGUGGUGACAUGAGUAUGUUCACAGGCUCAGAGAUCAACAAAUGAGGGACAAAAUAAGACAAUGUCUGAGAAGAGGCUACUGGGUUGAUGAACUCUGUGAGAACAGAGCCGAUGGAGUAGUAAGAAGCAAAUGAAGUGGGAGUAGUAGAUUUCAGUUCUAAAACUCCUCUGCUUAGCUUAGGGCUCAAAAUGUGAGGUUUCUGAGAGGUUUCAGGCUGCAGCUUGCAGUUCAGAGAAGAAUGUUCACAAGAAAAGUAGGAUAAAGGAAGAGGAAGUUGACUUAAACCACAAUAGGCCUGGCUCAGAUUAGAUGGGAGGCUCAACUUCCUGCCAGAGGAGCACCAGUUCAUGUGAAGAGAAGUGAGAAAAUCUCCUUAUUUGUGAUCCCCCAAAACUUAGAAAUAAUUCUCCUGCUUUGGAGUAAAAAUUGAUAUGAUCCAGCCUGAAGGCAUCAAAAGACUAAAAUGAAGCUUUCAAGUGGCAUGCAGAUGGAAGAAAAAUUGGUUUGAACUCCAGCUCAGCUGAUUACUUGAAACACCAAGGGCCCUUCAAAACACACAACCUUCUUGCUCACGGCAUAAAGCCCAGUUCCAUCUGGCCUCUGCAGGUUGGCUCAGCACUGGGGAACCAGUGUCCCCUCCAUGACCAAGGCACCACUCCACUGACAGAUACUUGGCUCACUCUGAGUGUUCAGAGAUUCCCAGACACCUACCUCUCCUACUUCUGACUCUGUUAAUCAGCUUGCUUGGCUGGUCUCCAACCACAGGUCCGGGGGAUGAGCCAAGGUCCUUUUGAGCUCCGGUAUGGGAACCUCUGGAAAGCUUAGCAACACUUUCCAACAACUUUGCCAGGUAAGUCUUCUUGUCCUCAUUUCCAGAGAAGACAACUGAAGCCCAAAGAAAGACUUGCCCAAGCCAUGAUUAUCUAGUUGACGACCAAGACAGCAUCAGAACACAAGUUUGUCUAAUUUUUUCAUACCAUAUCUGGUGACCAUAACUGCUGCUUUUGCUGCUGGGUGACUUAGGCUGGAUUGAGUAGGUAGAAAAGAGCCUUAGUUUUAAGGUUACUGAUAGAACUUAAAUUGAAGGGGUAUGUUACCCUCUUACAUUCAAUUAAAGAGUUGAACAAGAAAAAACAUUGAGUAUUUUCUUGCUGAAAGACAAGGCUGAAUCCCUCUGUCUUGCCUUGGCUGGGACAGGGCUUUCUGGUCUCAUGGGGGCAGUUUUCCAUUUUUGGUAACCUUGAGAUGUUUGCCACUUUUCAAUUGACAGUAUUUGAUGUAGACCAGCUACCUGCUCACAGAUAAACUGCC